rnacentral:ncRNA from 1 species
CAAGUUGUUGGUGGCCUAAAUUUAGGCAUAAUCGGGAAAUUGGUGAAAAACCAAUACUGCCCCCGCAACGGUAAUAGAGUGUGGAUAUAACAACAUGUCACUGAGAUUUUUCUUGGGAAGACGUUAUAUUUUGUCUCUUGAGUCCGGAUACCGGCCAAUCUUUAUU